rnacentral:rRNA from 1 species
UACGUAGGGUGCGAGCGUUGUCCGGAAUUAUUGGGCGUAAAGAGCUUGUAGGCGGUCUGUCGCGUCUGCUGUGAAAAUCCGGGGCUCAACCCCGGACUUGCAGUGGGUACGGGCAGACUAGAGUGAUGUAGGGGAGACUGGAAUUCCUGGUGUAGCGGUGAAAUGCGCAGAUAUCAGGAGGAACACCAAUGGCGAAGGCAGCACUCUGGGCAUUAACUGACGCUGAGGAGCGAAAGCAUGGGGAGCGAACAGG